GAUGAACGCUGGCGGUGUGCCUAAUACAUGCAAGUCGAACGAAGUCUUCGGACUUAGUGGCGAACGGGUGAGUAACACGUUGGUACCUACCCUCUAGUGGGGAAUAACUGCCCGAAAGGGUGCUAAUACCGCAUAAUACCGCAAGGUUAAAGCAGUAAUGCGCUAGAGGAGGGGCCUGCGUCUGAUUAGCUAGUUGGUGAGGUAAUAGCUCACCAAGGCUACGAUCAGUAGCNGGAUCGAGAGGUUGACCAGCCACACUGGGACUGAGAUACGGCCCAGACUCCUACGGGAGCAGCAGUAGGAUCUUCCACAAUGGACGAAGUCUGAUGGAGCAACACCGCGUGCAGGAUGACGGUCUUCGGAUUGUAAACUGCUUUUGCUGAUGAACAAUUUUUGAGCGUAGUCAGCGAAUAAGAGGUUGCUAACUCUGUGCCAGCCGCCG
rnacentral:rRNA from 1 species